GGCCCCGUGUUCCCCUUCGUCGGCCGGCCUCCGCCCCCAGCGCUCCCCGCCGGUUGCUCCGCAGGCGCAAGGCCCGAGGGGCGACGGCGCCGCGUGGCCUCACGGCGAGCCGUGCCUCCGUUUCCAGCUCGUGCGCUGCGGCUCCAUCGAUUUGCCGCCGCCACCGUCAACCUCACACGCGGCGACCUCAGCACCGGCCUCCGCAAGGAUAUUUUCAUCUAGGUUGCCUGCUGGACUGACACCUCUCCUCGCUGCUCCUCGGCCAAGCAAGCAAAGCAGCCACAAGCCGGCAACCAAGGCAAGGACCUGAGCAUUGCCAGGUAAUUUUGAAGAUCGCCUGAAUUUCUUCAGUGUGACCAUGGGGGAACUACUAGUGGAGGAACAGCCGCUGGCUCCGGCGUUGUUGCAGCUGGAGGGAAACCCAGGUGCCGAGUGGCGCAACCACUCCUGGCCGUGCAACCACGAGGUGGUAGUCCCGGAUGGCUACACCUCAGCCAAGGAUGAGGCCAUGCACGGGAUCCUCGAGAACCCUGUGUUCCAUGGGAAAAUGGCCUACAAGUACCCCUUCCAGCUCGACCCCUUCCAGAGCGUCUCCAUCACGUGCCUAGAGAGGAACGAGUCCAUGCUGGUGUCGGCACACACAUCGGAGGGGAAGAGGGCCAUUACCGAAUACGCCAUUGCCAUGUCUUUGAGGGAGACUAAGAAUAUCAUCUACGCAUCCCCUUUCUAAGCACUCAGCGACCAGAUGUACAAGGAGCUCAGCAUGGUGUUCGACAGUGUUGGACUGAUGACCGACGAUGUCACACUCCCUCCUGAGGCUAGAUGCCUGGUCAUGAUGACGGAGAUCCUCAGGGCGAGGCUCUGCAGUGGUUAGUGGUGUUUGAUGUUGGGUGGGUUGUGUUUGAUGGGAUACAUUGCUUGGACCAUCCUGAGAGUGGAAUUGUGUUGGAGCAGAGUAUAA